rnacentral:rRNA from 1 species
CCUACGGGUGGCAGCAGUGAGGAAUAUUGGUCAAUGGGCGCGAGCCUGAACCAGCCAAGUCGCGUGAAGGAUGACUGCCCUAUGGGUUGUAAACUUCUUUUAUCUGGGAAUAAAGUGCACUACGUAUGCUGCUUUUCAUGUACCUUAUGAAUAAGGAUCGGCUAACUCCGUGCCAGCAGCCGCGGUAAUACGGGGGGUCCGAGCGUUAUCCGGAUUUAUUGGGUUUAAAGGGAGCGUAGGGGGGUUGUUAAGUCAGUUGUGAAAGUUGGGGGCUCAACCGUAAAAUUGCAGUUGAUACUGGCAGCCUUGAGUACAGGAGAGGUAGGCGGAAUGCGUGGUGUAGCGGUGAAAUGCUUAGAUAUCACGAAGAACUCCGAUUGCGAAGGCAGCCUGCUGGACUGUAACUGACGCUGAUGCUCGAAAGUGUGGGUAUCAAACAGGAUUAGAUACCCUAGUAGUC